UGGGGAAUUUUGGACAAUGGGCGCAAGCCUGAUCCAGCCAUGCCGCGUGCGGGAAGAAGGCCUUCGGGUUGUAAACCGCUUUUGGCAGGAACGAAACGGCGCAAGCCAAUACCUUGCGCUAAUGACGGUACCUGCAGAAUAAGCACCGGCUAACUACGUGCCAGCAGCCGCGGUAAUACGUAGGGUGCAAGCGUUAAUCGGAAUUACUGGGCGUAAAGCGUGCGCAGGCGGCUUUGCAAGACAGGUGUG
rnacentral:rRNA from 1 species